CCUACGGGAGGCAGCAGUGGGGAAUAUUGCACAAUGGGGGAAACCCUGAUGCAGCAACGCCGCGUGAGCGAUGAAGGCCUUCGGGUCGUAAAGCUCUGUCCUAAGGGAAGAAUACUGACGGUACCUUAGGUGGAAGCCACGGCUAGCUACGUGCCAGCAGCCGCGGUAAUACGUAGGGGGCUAGCGUUAUCCGGAAUUACUGGGCGUAAAGGGUGCGUAGGCGGCCAUUCAAGUCAGAGGUGAAAGGCUACGGCUCAACCGUAGUAAGCCUUUGAAACUGUAGGUCUUGAGUGCAGGAAAGGAGAGUUGAAUUGCCAGUGUAGCGGUGAAAUGCGUCGAUAUUGGGAGGAACACCAGUUGCGAAGGCGGCUCUCUGGACUGUAACUGGCGCUGAGGCACGAAAGCGUGGGGAGCGAACAGGAUUAGAUACCCCGGUAGUC
rnacentral:rRNA from 1 species